rnacentral:rRNA from 1 species
UGGGGAAUAUUGCACAAUGGGCGCAAGCCUGAUGCAGCCAUGCCGCGUGUGUGAAGAAGGCCUUCGGGUUGUAAAGCACUUUCAGCGAGGAGGAAGGUGGUGAGCUUAAUACGCUCAUCAAUUGACGUUACUCGCAGAAGAAGCACCGGCUAACUCCGUGCCAGCAGCCGCGGUAAUACGGAGGGUGCAAGCGUUAAUCGGAAUUACUGGGCGUAAAGCGCACGCAGGCGGUUUGUUAAGUCAGAUGUGAAAUCCCCGGGCUCAACCUGGGAACUGCAUUUGAAACUGGCAAGCUAGAGUCUCGUAGAGGGGGGUAGAAUUCCAGGUGUAGCGGUGAAAUGCGUAGAGAUCUGGAGGAAUACCGGUGGCGAAGGCGGCCCCCCUGGACGAAGACUGACGCUCAGGUGCGAAAAGCGUGGGGAGCAAAACAGGAUUAGAUACCCUGGUAGUCCACGCUGUAAAACGAUGUCGAUUUUGGAGGUUGUGCCCCUUGAGGCGUGGCUUCCGGAGCUAACGCGUUAAAUCGACCGCCU